CCUCCUUUCUAAGGAUGAAUAAAAGUAAAAUUUUAUUCUAAAUAAUAUACAGGUUAAUGUUGACCGUCCUCAUUUCUCUUCUUAAAUUAGUGUUUCUCUUCUGCAUGGGGGCCGGUAGCUCAGUUGGUUAGAGCACACCCUUGAUAAGGGUGGGGUCGAAAGUUCGAGUCUUUCUCGGCCCACCAAAUUAAUGGGGGAUUAGCUCAGCUGGGAGAGCGCCUGAUUUGCAUUCAGGAGGUCAGCGGUUCGAUCCCGCUAUCCUCCACCAAGAAACACUUAGUUAUUUAAACUGUAAAUAAAAAUAAUAAUUAUCAAUAUCUAUAUCUGAUUGUUCGAAUAGAUGAACAAUCAAUGAAUGUUCGAAUAGAUGAACAUUCCAAAAAAAUUUGAUUCAACACAGAAUUUUUUUCUGUGCAUAAAUCAAGCGUUUAAGGGCGUGUGGCGGAUGCCUUGGCACUGA
rnacentral:tRNA from 1 species